UACGUAGGUGGCGAACGUUUAUCCGGAAUUACUGGGCGUAAAGGGUCUGUAGGCGGUCUUAAAGGUCCGGCGUGACAAUUCUCGGCUUAACUGAGAGAGUGCGUUGGAAACCGGAAGACUAGAAUCACGUCGAGGUCGGUGGAAUUCCCGGCGUAGUGGUGGAAUGCGUAGAGAUCGGGAGGAACCCCUAAAGCGAAGGCAGCCGGCUAGACGAUGAUUGACGCUGAGGGACGAUAGCGUGGGGGAGCGAACAGG
rnacentral:rRNA from 1 species